CCUACGGGAGGCAGCAGUGGGGAAUAUUGGACAAUGGGCGAAAGCCUGAUCCAGCAACGCCGCGUGAGGGAUGACGGCCUUCGGGUUGUAAACCUCUUUCAGUACCGACGAAGCGCAAGUGACGGUAGGUACAGAAGAAGCACCGGCCAACUACGUGCCAGCAGCCGCGGUAAUACGUAGGGUGCGAGCGUUGUCCGGAAUUAUUGGGCGUAAAGGGCUCGUAGGCGGUUUGUCGCGUCGGGAGUGAAAACUCAGGGCUUAACUCUGAGCCGGCUUCCGAUACGGGCAGACUAGAGGUAUGCAGGGGAGAACGGAAUUCCUGGUGUAGCGGUGAAAUGCGCAGAUAUCAGGAGGAACACCGGUGGCGAAGGCGGUUCUCUGGGCAUUACCUGACGCUGAGGAGCGAAAGUGUGGGGAGCGAACAGGAUUAGAUACCCUAGUAGUC
rnacentral:rRNA from 1 species